UCUUCUUGAUGCAGGUGCUAUUUUGUUUGUCAGUGAUAGGCCUUGUGGAGUUGCAGUUGGUAUGUUGGAUUCAUGUUUGCUGCCUUCGCUCUGUAUGGAAAUAUUAUAGGAUAUAAUGGCUUUCUCCUGGAACCAUCGUCAUAAACCAAUCAACUCUUUGAGAAUGGAAGGAGAAGACGACAUCAAGAAGGCCAUGGCUGAGGCAAAACUGUGAACAAGCGGGCAAGAUGUGUUGACGCAAGAUAUCUUUUGCUAUAUCAUGCAUCAUGAUCGUAUGACCCACUCUAUGCAUAUGAACCACUAUAUUGGACAUUCUUACAUUUUACUGAAUCAUAUCCUUCCUUGAGAAUUGUGUCUUAGGCUUUUGCUCUCAUGCUCCUGCUGUUGUACUAAACUUAAUGUCAGCUAAUGUCCUUUGGCACCCGGCACUGUUGUACUAAACUUAAUGGCAGCUAAUGUCCUUCGGGCACCCUGCAUCAAGGUGUGUUGCCUAUUUUUUAUGGUCUUGUGAACACACUGAACUUGAUGUUACCUUAUAAUCUUUUGCCGAU